rnacentral:piRNA from 1 species
UCUCAAUUGGAUAGCAUAACA